rnacentral:rRNA from 1 species
AUUAGAGUUUGAUCCUGGCUCAGGAUGAAUCUUAGACGACUGUUUAAUACAUGCAAAUCGUGCACUGUCUAUGUUCUACAUAGAUAACAGGUUUAUGGGUGAGUAAUAUGUAAGAACCAACCUUUAGGCGGGGGAAUACCCCAUAAGCUGUGGAGUAAAAGAAUAUUUUCACCUAAAGACGGGCUUACACCUGAUUAGCUUGAUGGUGAGGUAAUAGCUUACCAUGGCUACAAUCAGUAACUGGUCUGAGAGGAUGUACAGUCACAUUGGGACUGAGAUACGGCCCAGACGACUACGUGUUGGCAGCAGUAAUGAAUCUUCCGCAAUGGGGGAAACCCUGACGGAGCGAGUCGUCGUGAAGGAUGAAGGUUUACGGAUUGUAAACUUCUUUUGCUACAUUUAAAUUUUUAAUUUAUUAGCCACUGGCGUGUAGAGAAUAAGCAUCAACAAAUUUCGUGCCAGCAGCCGCGGUUAUACGGGAGAUGCAAAGAUUAUCUGGAAUUAUUGGGUGUAAAGAGUCUUAAGAUGGUGGAGUGUGUCUAUGGUGAAAUGUCAAAGCUUAACUUUGAAACAGCUGUAGAAACUACUCAACUUGAGUUCGAUAGAGGUAAAGGGAAUUCUCGGUGGAGCGGUGAAAUGCAUAGAUAUCGAGAGGAACACCGAAGGCGUAGGCACUUUACUGGGUCGAAACUGACAUUGUAAGACGAAAGCUAAGGGAGCAAAAGGGAUUAGAGACCCCUGUAGUCUUAGCCGUAAAUGAUGGGUACUGUGUAUUGGUUCUAAAUCAGUACGUAAGCUAACGCUAAGUACCCCACCUGGGGAUUACGUCCGCAAGGAUAAAACUUAAAGAAAUAGGCGGGGGGAUAAACAAGCAGUGGAUAGUGUGGUUUAAUUCGCUGCUACGCGCAGAACCUUACCAGCGCUUGACAUCCCUGUUAUAUCAUUAUGUAGUAGUAAUGGUUUAAAGCAGGAGACAGGUAAUGCAUGGUUGUCGAUGCAGUUCGUGCUGUGAAGUGUUCGGUUAAGUCCGGCAACGAACGAAACCCUCAUACUUAUUUACCGUAUGGUAUAAGUAAACUGCCAGCAUUUUAAGUUGGAGGAAGGCGAGGAUGAAGUCAAAUCAUCAUGUUCCUUAUGCGCUGGGCGACACACGCUAUACAAUGGUCACGUACAAUGAGAUGCAAGCUAGCGAUAGUGAGCCAAUCUGUAGAAUAUGACCUCAGUUUGGAUCGAAGCCUGCAACUCGGCUUCGUGAAAGAGGAAUUGCUAGUAAUCAUCCAAUCAGCCAUGUGGAGGUGAAUCGUCAAUAUCCCUUACACUCACCGCCCGUCACACCGAGAAAAUAGUGUUAGUCCGAAGGCAAGAGACGUUUCUUGUCUAAGUCUAAUACCUUAAUUUUGGUGAAGUCGUAACAAGGUAACCAAU